rnacentral:rRNA from 1 species
GACGAACGCUGGCGGCGUGCCUAACACAUGCAAGUAGAACGCCGUUGCGAACGGGUGAGUAACGCGUAGGUAACUGCCUCAUAUCGGGGGAUAACUAGUGGAAACGACAGCUAAUACCGCAUACGGUGAGAUGGACCUGCGUUGUCUUAGCUAGUUGGUGAGGUAAAGGCUCACCAAGGAGACGAUACAUAGCCGACCUGGGAGGGUGAUCGGCCAAACGGGGACUGAGACCAGGGCGAGACUCCGACGGGGGGCAGCAGUAGAGACGCUUGGGCAAUGGACGGAAUGCUCGCCGAGCAAAGCCGCGGGGGUGGAGAAGGGUGUCGAGUCGGAAGGCUCUUUUGUUAGAGAAGGGGUAACUAACCAGGAAGGGACGGCUAACUACGUGCCAGCAGCCGCGGUAAUAC